CGCUCCCUCUAUGUCACUGCCUCUCUCUGGGAAAAUGGCGUCCUCCGCUCUCCCCUCCCUCCCACUGCACGGGGCUUACCCGUCCCGCCCGGCAGGGGCAAGGUUACCAGGGCGAAGCCAAACGGUCGCCAUUUUGCUUGUGGGCUGGAGCGCAGUCUGUGUCCGUUAAGUCCUCCCUCGUGCUAUGUCCAUUUCACAAAGGGGGUUUCCUCACGAUAUUAAAUUGUUCGACGGCCGGGGCCAGGGAGCGCGACCUCGAUCGAAAAAUGCUAGAAAGGGGCAGCCUAGGGAACGGCAAGGGCGAGAGAACUGUGUCUGGGGGGAGGCUCGGGGCGAUCCUGCAGCGGAGUCACUGGCGGUGGGGGGGCUCGGGCCCAAAAUGAUGCUGCGGAGGACCUAAAGCGCGGAGCGAGACCUUGUCUUCCGCAGGGACGCAGACACCGAAACCUGUCUUCAGCCUACCACCUGCGCCAGCCUACCCUCUGACCUCUGGUGAGCCUGGGCCAGCCCUCCUGACACACACAGACUGUGGGGGAGGCGGCCAGACCGAGGCAAUCUCCCCCACGCAGAGUGAGGCGGGGGAUAAGAGACUGAAACCCAUUUGGUGAACGAUGGAGGGUUGCUGGCUGAGGGGAUCUCCCCCUCCAGUUAGUGGAGACGUGAGGCAGGUCCGGCAGAGGAAGUCUCUCCACAAGUAACUGAAGUUUAGCCCAGGCCUGCCUCGGGGAACCUCCUCCUCCAAGGAACGAGACUGGGGCAUUAGGGUCAGCUCUGCCUGCCAGGCUCCCCUUUAGCGAAUGACACUUGUGGGGGCAGUUCUGGGGCAGCCCUGAUGUGGACUCGCCACGGGCAGAGCAAGAGGGCGCUUGGUUGGGCUGCUCGCUCGGGUUCUGCCUGUUGUUGCGCGAAAUGGCGGCUGCUACCUUGGUGCAUCAGAACAACAAGUGUUAUAACAAAUUUUAAUUAGUCAUUGUUUUUACCAUGCUUUGAAGAUAUAUAUCACUAAGUGCCAAGUAUUAAUUAUUAAGUUUACCUAGGAGUACAAGCCAAGAUCAUGGGUUUUGUUUCUGGACCGGUGUCAGUGAGCAUACAAGAACAGCUCUAGGAACAGGGUGCCCAGUCCAGCUCCCAUUGAACUCAAAGGGAGUUUGGACUUGAUUAGUUAAAUAUGCACCUUCUGCAGCAGCUGAAGCACAUCACUGUUUACAUUCUAAGUCCCUAUAUGGAUCUGGAAACUGAGGCAGGAUCGUGGAGCCUCAGACCCCUGCACAGAGCUAGGAAGCAAUGGAAGCCUGGGGCAGGGAUCCCCCAGCUUCUCUCAGAGAACUGUACAGAACCAGGCAGCAAUGGAAGCUUGUGGAGGAUACCUAGAAAGCAUCCCUUCGUCCCUCCUCAUCUCUCUCCAUGGAGUGGGGAAACAAUGGGAGCAGGGAAGUAAGGCAGCAGAGAAGGAGGGGUUCUUCACCCCCAUGAUUCCUCUACAGGUCUCAGGAAGGAGUUUGGAAUCUGAGGAGCUUUGCCUUAAGAGUGCUGCUGCUACCAAAGAGGCAGGAGUAUCAUCUUGAUAGGACGGUAGGAGAGAGGACCUGGCACAUUUGUUGGUGUUACUCACAGGCCUGCUCCUCCUACCAUAUUGUAAAAAUGGGGUAGAAAAAAGAAAGAAAGACAAGUUGUGCUAUUUAAAGGAUAUUGUAUCAAAAGUUUAAAGUGGUUUGCAAAUAAUUAUUAAAAGAAAAAAAAACGCAGGUGACCAUGUCUCUUUAAAGCUCAUUGAAAGGGCUCUCCUAGAGUGAGUCAUCUGCAGCUGUAGAGGAACCCUCAGAGGCAAACUUCCACUAAAGCUUGCCUUCUCCCUUGAAACUAAAUAGAGCUGUCAGAGAUCCCAGAGACAGGGGCAGAAGAAAAAUACCAUGAUUCAUUUCUUCUGAGUUAGAUACACAUGGGAGAUUUCCCUAGUGUGCCAAUGGUGUUUUGUUUUUAAAUCACACAGAUCUGUACAGGCAACAUUGUGCAGCUUCAGACUCUUACCCACAAGACUGAAAUACCCAAAAGCCCAUCCCCAGGAAAUGCACAAUAGUGUUGAUAUGCCUGUUGCUACUAAGGAAGUGGUUUCUGUUAUAACCACCCAGCAAUCUGCCAAAGCCCAGAGUUUGGACAGUUGCCAGGCUAAAUCAUACUAAAAGUUUGUUUCCUUUUUAACUCUCUUCUUAACAGAUCUUUAAGGUAUUGCUGCAUCUCACCACCAUUUUAAAACUACCUACAAAUGUCAGGCUUUUGAGCUGCAAGUAAUCUACCUUUUCAAUUUAAAAAAAAAAAAAAAGACAAGGCCUCAGAGAAUCAAAAUUUCCAAUAAUUAAUGGAAAUUACUCUCAAAUAUGAUACAGUGGUGAGAUGGAGGCUAAGGCAGCUGAGGCUCAGGAAUUAUCCACAACUGUAUCCCCCUCCUGUCAGUAAUCCUUUUUUGACCCUUAGCUGGCACUAGAAAUAUGACAUAGUACUGCAGAAAAUGCAGUGCAUUACACCAGACAAUGUUUUGAUCUUUGAGACAUCAGGCGCCCCCUAGUGGACUUUUUCCUUUGAACAUUUGAAACACAGUCUUUCCACAGGUUUCAGAGGAACAGCCGUGUUAGUCUGUAUUCGCAAAAAGAAAAGGAGUACUUGUGGCACCUUAGAGACUAACCAAUUUAUUUGAGCAUGAGCUUUCGUGAGCUACAGCUCACUUCAUCAGAUGUUUACCGUGGAAACUGCAGCAGACUUUAUAUACACACAGAGAAUAUGAAACAAU